rnacentral:rRNA from 1 species
GACGAACCGUGCGAACGUUAUUCGGAAUCACUGGGCUUAAAGGGCGCGUAGGCGGGCUGUCAAGUCAGGGGUGAAAUCCCACGGCCCAACCGUGGAAGUGCCUUUGAUACUGACGGCCUCGAGGGGGAUAGGGGCGUGCGGAACUCAGGGUGGAGCGGUGAAAUGCGUAGAUAUCCUGAGGAACACCGGUGGCGAAAGCGGCGCGCUGGAUCCCUUCUGACGCUGAGGCGCGAAAGCCAGGGGAGCAAACGGG